rnacentral:sRNA from 1 species
GGGGGAUGUGGAGAGCUGGUAGCAUGUCGGCCGAGCUGGGAGUCGGGUGCGCAUUGCGGGCGGUGAACGAGCGCGUGCAGCAGGCUGUGGCGCUGCGGCCGCGGGAUCUCCCAGCCAUCCAGCCCCGGCUAGUGGCAGUCAGCAAAACCAAACCUGCAGACAUGGUGAUCGAGGCCUAUGGACAUGGGCAGCGUACUUUUGGCGAGAACUACGUAAGAGCCCUUUCCUGAAGCCCUUUGGAAGCAUCAUGAUUACCAGGCUUCUGACUUGUUCUGUUUUGACCUUUUAGGUUCAGGAACUGCUAGAAAAAGCAUCAAAUCCUAAAAUUCUGUCUUUGUGUCCUGAGAUCAAAUGGCACUUUAUUGGCCACCUACAGAAACAAAAUGUCAACAAAUUGAUGGGAAAGUCUGAGUUCUUAAUAAAAGGAGAAAACAUCAUGCCAAGAACAGAAUGAAUUCACCAUUUUCUGGGUUAUAUAUAGUUGGAAACCUACCCAACCUCAUGUUUAUUAUUAUUUGGUGGUCUUUCAGAAAAAUUAUAAAGAAUUGUAGCCCAUAAAUUUUUUUAACUAGCAAAAGAGACAUUCCUGUUCUUUUUCCUUUAAAUAAAAGGCUACAGUAAAUAAAAUACAAUACA